rnacentral:rRNA from 1 species
UACAGAGGGCGCGAGCGUUGUCCGGAAUCACUGGGCGUAAAGGGCGCGUAGGUGGCCACUAUAAGGCCGCGGUGAAAGUUCGGGGCUCAACCCUGAAUCUGCCGCGGCGACUGUAGGGCUAGGGCACCGUAGAGGCAGAUGGAAUUCCGGGUGUAGCGGUGGAAUGCGCAGAUAUCAGGAGGAACACCGAUGGCGGAGGCAGUGUUCUGGGCCAGUACUGACGCUGAGGAGCGAAAGCGUGGGGAGCAAACAGG